UCUGAUUUGGAGCCAGGCAAUAUGGUAUGUUAUAGAUAUGGUCAACAAUAGAGCAUUAUUCAAAUAAUUUGGCUGAAUGUUUGUUCAAAAGAAUAGUUCUACUACAUCACCUAUAUCAUGCUGAUUUUUAGUCCUGUAAGCUCUUUCUGUAAUGUAAUUAGUUAUGUGCUAAUAACUAUUUUCAAGGUCAAAGGUUCGAGGUUGGAAGAAAGAGCAAUUGCAGAGUCUUUAUACACUUAUAUAAAGGACAAUAAUAAAAUGUUGCUUUGAGUGUGAUUGUGUAACUUAAAACUGCAUGGUUGUCUAUAGCAUAGUGUCUCCUUCUCUCUCAUCUGUGUCUGGCUUAGGUGAUCAGUUUAUGUCCUUGAAUUAAUUAUUUGAAUAAGUUUCCUUGUGUGUUGAUCACAUUUACUUCAUUGAUGUAUGUUAUACAAGUCAGGACUUAAAAAUCAUGUAAAAAGCAAACUACCUUUCAUUAUUGGCUUUACCUCUUAUCACUUGGGCUGGUGCUUUGGGGCUGACGGUAGAGUUACUCGGUUCUGCUAAUUAUCAGUUGCCAACUCUAGAACAACUGGGAUAAAGUACAAGGAUAUUGUUGUGAAGAGACUUAGAAACAGAAGAAAUGUGGAUUAUAUUUGAUGCUAGGAAAUGAAGUGUCUGAUUCAUUAGAUGAAGACAACUGACACCUGUUUGACGUGCUGGUGUAACACAAUGGGUGAUGGAUACUUACAUCCGUAUAUGUACCUACCGUUUUGAUGAUAUUGUGGUAGAGAAGAUCAACAGUAGCUUUGUAACUGAGGCAAAUUGGAGGAGAGAGAUUAUGGAAGUCAUUGGAAGGGGUGGUCCCAAAGCCUUUGCAAGAUAUAUGCUUAUAGCCUUCAUGUGGCCAAUGAAAUGGCAACAAUUCCUUGAUUAUGUUGAAGGAAGGAUUUUAGAAACUAAGUAUUCUUGUAGUAUGUGUUCAUGCGGCCAUGAAAUCCCAUGUUGAAGACUUGAAGUAUAACCUUUGCCAUGUUGAUAUAUAUGUAUAUUUGGAUACAAGUCAUGGUAAUGAAAUGGCGUGUUAUAAAGGUUAUGGAUCCAUUGUCCAACUACUGUAUAAUCAUUAUUACUAUAUUGAAUUUUUAGUUCUCAUUGAAUAAUCCUUUAUGGGCAUGUCAAGCCUACUAAAAAGAUAUUGAUGAUUGUCAUCUUGGUGUAUCAUAUUGCA
rnacentral:misc_RNA from 1 species